CUUAACCCAUUAUUUUUAAUGUUUUUAUAAAUGUUUUUAAAAAUGUUUUUUAAAUGUUUUUAAAAACAUUUUUUAAAUAUUGUGUGCUGAUUGGGUAGUUGGGGAGGAACUAAAAAAACUAAAAUUGCUUUUAGUAAAAGCAAAACAUAUGAUGCCAUUCAAGUUGCUAUUUUGCAGACAUUUAAUAAAAAAAUUGUGUACCUGAAACAGGUUGAAGAUUAUAUUAAACGUUGAUUUAGCACCAGUACUCAACGAGUUGUGUAAUUAAAUAUUUUGUAUUAAAUAUAUUGUAAACAAAUAUUUUUAUAUUUAAUAAAUAUCUAUAUACAGCAAA